rnacentral:rRNA from 1 species
AUUGAACGCUGGCGGCAGGCCUAACACAUGCAAGUCGAACGGUAACAGGAAGAAGCUUGCUUCUUUGCUGACGAGUGGCGGACGGGUGAGUAAUGUCUGGGAAACUGCCUGAUGGAGGGGGAUAACUACUGGAAACGGUAGCUAAUACCGCAUAACGUCGCAAGACCAAAGAGGGGGACCUUCGGGCCGCUUGCCAUCGGAUGUGCCCCGAUGGGAUGAGCUAGUAGGUGGGGUAACGGCUCACCUAGGCGAAUAUCCCUAGCUGGUCUGAGAGGAUGACCGGCCACACUGGAACUGGACCACGGUCCAUACUCCUGCGGGAGGCAGCAGUGGGGAAUAUUGCACAAUGGGCGCAAGCCUGAUGCAGCCGUGCCGCGUGUAUGAAGACGGCCUUCGGGUUGUAAAGUACUUUCAGCGGGGAGGAAGGGAGUAAAGUUAAUACCUUUGCUCAUUGACGUUACCCGCAGAAGAAGCACCGGCUAACUCCGUG